UACGGAGGGGGCGAGCGUUAUUCGGAAUUAUUGGGCGUAAAGGGCGCGUAGGCGGCCUUGCAAGUCAAAGGUGAAAUCCCUCAGCUCAACUGAGGAACUGCCUUUGAAACUGCACGGCUUGAGGCCGGGAGGGGGUAGCGGAAUUCCCAGUGUAGCGGUGAAAUGCGUAGAUAUCGAGAGGAACACCUGCGGCGAAGGCGGGUUGCUGGGCCGACACUGACGCUGAUGCGCGAAAGCCAGGGGAGCGAACGGG
rnacentral:rRNA from 1 species